UCACCCAGGAGAGCUUUCGAUGUUGCCUGCUUUUAUCUGAAAAACAAUCCGAACAGCAGCUCUGAAAAUUAGGUCAGGGCUUGUGAUGGCAGGGACUUGCAAGGUGUGAACUGCCUGAAUCCUCUGUGGGCUCCCUCUGCGCUCUGCUCUGGCAAAUGCUUCCUUUGUUUCCCUGAAAAGUCUGACUUGCUGAAGCGCCUAUACCUGCUCUUUUUCUUUCUUUUGGUCUCCUCAUAGACAACUGAAUUUGGAAAGAAACGAAAAAAAAAAAAAAAGAAAGAAAGAAAAAGAAAACCACUAGUCAAGUUCUUCCUCCUCCUCUGAACUCAGUUCCUUCCCUGCUGUGCUAUCACUGUGGGGACUGGAAGCCACACUGAGGAGGGUGUGGACCGGCAUUUUUAUAAUCUCUUCAGCGGCAUAUGCCAAUCUGCAGCAGGAGUUUUAGGAAGGCUGAGUGGAUCCUGCUGUAUCAGAGGUUGCAGUCCAUCGUUUCAGGGAAGUCAAGGCAGCAGGAACUUGAAGCAGCGAAGUCACAUGGAAAGUCAAGACCAGCAAAAGAGAGAAAACGGUGUGCUUGCCGGGGCUUAUAGUCCUUCUUUCCUUUUUAUUCAGCUCAGGACCCAGCCAGGCAAUUCUGCUGCCCACACUCAGGAGAGAUACUACUUUGGGAGAAAAAUCAAAAGAACAAAGGUCUGAGAGACUCCGGGAUGGAAACAAAACAUCUCAAGGGAUAACUACGAAAGCUGAAAGUCACAGUUAACACAAACUGAAACACCAACAACCCCAGAAUGUACCACUAAUGAAUUCAAUCAAAGUGAACUCCAUUUCCAUUCCCUUGAAUUCUACACAAACAAUUUCCACCUCACGAGUAUCUUUCGGAAAUACUGUACACACAGCGCUAGAUAUUAAGCUGCUCCACAAACAUUUUGGAUCAAAACUGCCUGCCUAGAAAUGGCUGCUGCAACAGCAAUAACAUGGCUUUAGAAAGAGCCAGCUUGCUCGCACACAAGCUCACGAACAUUUCCUCCACAAAAAAUGGAGUUUUGUAGAAGAGAAUUGCCUGGAAAACAGGGGUUUUUAAGGGUGAACUUUUGACUUGCAAUGCAAGGUGGAAGGAAGAAUGCCAGAGAAUAGAGAGAUAGGCAACCUCUGCUGCAGCAGUUUUCCCCAGAGAGCCAUGCACAGAACGACUUCUAGUUUACUGUGAUGGCCUCAGCAAACAAUU